AUUCAACACAGACUGUCAACCUGUCCCAUUGUGUAGGUCUAGAGGAUGAAGAUAGAAGAAAUAACGGGAAGGAGUCAGGAGAGGGAGAAAGGGUUACCCACAAGGCACCCCUAGCCUUCCUCUGGGACCUGGAAAAAGCCAUAUUGUAAUGGUUACCGUCGGCUUCUUUCAAGAAACAAAAAGAGCUUUGCAAAGCCACUGCAGAAGUAAUUCAGUGCAGUGGUGUAUUUUCCAACCGACUCCUGUUCAAACACGGUUUGUAUACAGUGCGCACUGUCAGUGUCAUAUGCCCUAAUAGACCAGUCCCUCCAGAGGGUGGGAGCUGUAGGUAAAAUCCAGGAUGUUUUGGCUGCAUCCCCGGCUCUGGGCCCAGCACGCUGCUGGCAGACUGCUGCGGUAGGCAGUUUGGCAUUUCAAGGGCCACCCUCCUCACCUCCUAGUCACUGAGACAGCAACGCCAGAGGUACUGGGAAAAAGCCUGAACUGUAAUCGUUCGGUAGUUUUCAAGUUCUGCCAAACAAUACAAACUAUUAAUAAGCAGAUAAUCUACAAAUUGACAGGAAUUGCUGUAGAAUCAACAACUCCCAUAAUUUUUUGCACAGGAAUUAUGAAAUAGAAAUAAUUCAGGAUAUUAUGUCCCAAGCCUAUAUACCAAAUGUUACUCCCAAUUCCUCAAACUCCCAUCUAACCCAAUGACAAGCAAAGUGCGUUAAGUUGCCCACUGAUGUGGUUUAGAGGGUGCUCUUGGGGAAAAUUCCCCACUUUAAAAUAUGUCUUCUCUGACGUCUGAUGUUUAACCAUUAGCAGUUCAUAUCUUUAGGCGAAGAUUGCCCACUUCCUCUGGCAGGUAGUCUUUUAUUUUUAUUUUUUAUCUUUUUUUUUUUGAGACAGAUUCUCGCUCUGUCGCCCAGGCUGGAGGGCAGUGGCCGGAUAUCGGCUCACUGAACCCUAACAAGUGCAGGAAAUAAAUGUCUCAGGGAACUUAUCACUCAUUUAAGCAGUAUAUAAUGAGCACCUACAAUGCGCUAAGUAUUGUGCUAGGUGCAUGGGCCUGAACUGAAACAAAAAGAGGAAGCCAAACUUAACCUGUUUCGUCAUUUUACCUAAAGCUGUGUCUACUCUUAUUUAUACAUCAACUUUCACCCACUAAUCUUAAAAACACCCCCCUUUUUUA
rnacentral:lncRNA from 10 species